GCGAUAAAGGCUUAUAGGUAGUUUUAGGUAUGUUGCUACCGCUGUUUUUCUUGGGGCCUAAAAUCGAAGUCUCGUUAGGGGAAUUCGUAACCUUCGGCAGCCUCUCUUCCCUCCGGCGAACGUUCACUGCGCUUAGGGUAGAGCAGGCGCAUCAACUCUCUUCUUCAUCUGCAUCGCCAAGCUACCCUUUGCUCAGCCGAUUCCCCUGCUAUUGGGUUCACCUGCAAGUAAUCCUCGCGCGCUGAUCUCUCCUCGCUAUCAGAAGGUCCUUUCUUAGGUGUCAGUUAAACUUCGAAUUGUAGAGCAAGUUUUCCUUUCAAUUCUGUCUAUUGCUGGUUCAGGAUAGAUUCUAAACAUGAGCCGUGUCUUUCAAGGGAAGAAUGUUAGUGAUCAAUAUAAUUGUUCGGAUAGAUGGGUGAAAUUAUUUCAUCUGCUGUAUGAUUUUAGAUGAGAAUGAUGGUGGAUUUAAGGUCGAGGUGAGCGUCAUAAAGAAAACGUGUAAAUGUUAACCACAGAGUAAACACCUUGACUCUCCCAACCACACGCUAUCUGCUUGUCAAGUAUGCAUCAAGGAUGGCAAUCACUUCCUACUCUGGGAAGAAUAUGAAACAUGGGAAAAGGGGGAAAAAAAACUUUGUCCCAAGAAACAAAGGUAACAGUGAUCAAAGACUGCGAUUGAAUUGUGAUGCCUUAUCUGAGAAAGGUCGAGGUGAGCGUCAUAAAGAAAACGUGUAAAUGUUAACCACAGAGUAAACACCUUGACUCUCCCAACCACACGCGAUCUGCUUGUCAAGUAUGCACCGAGGAUGGCAAUCACUUCCUACUCUGGGAAGAAUAUGAAACAUAGGAAAGGGGGAAAAAAAAACUUUGUCCCAAGAAACAAAGGUAACAGUGAUCAAAGACUGCGAUUGAAUUGUGAUGCCUUAUCUGAGAAAGGUCGAGGUGAGCGUCAUAAAGAAAACUUGUAAAUGUUAACCACAGAGUAAACACCUUGACUCUCCCAACCACACACGAUCUGCUUGUCAAGUAUGCACUGAGGAUGGCAAACACUUCCUACUCUUGGAAGAAUAUGAAGCAUAGAAACGGGGAAAAAAACUGUCCCAAGAAACAAAGGUAACAGUGAUCAAAGGUAUGCUCUACUGAAGCCCUCAUCAACUCGACUUUUUGAUCCACCAUAACAUGUUUUAAUGAUUUAGGCAUCAAAGGAUUGACAGCUAUCAAUGUUCAUCCUUAGUCCGCAAGCUAACAUUGUCCAAUAUGGGGAACCAACCAAACUUUUCCAGAUCUUCUCAUUGAAGAAUAAUAAUUAAUACAUUAUUCUUGGAGACUACUUAAACUACAACUUUACUCCAGAACUAACAAACCCUGUGAUGCUGAAGCUAUAUUUCUCAUUGGUCGUGAAAUGUUGACUUUAUUUUAUGAUUUCUGUUAGGUAAAUUGACUUAUAUAUCUCAUCUUCAUCUUCCAAUCAUGUUGGUCCUAAAUAAUUGGGUGUGCAUCUAUUGAAACUUAUAUGGCUAGUAAUAUUUAGAUCUUCUAAAUCACUUUUAGUUACACAUUUAUUUGUGUGAUUGUUAGGAAACAUGUAUUAAAAUUAAUUUAAUAGAGAUGGGAAUGUUAAGACGGUUACAUUACUGGAUAGGAUAAAAUAAAAGAUAUAAGAACAUGUUCAAAGGUGAUAAAAAAAGAUUCUAUAGGUAGAAAUAUUGAAUUGAUUAAGUGGAAAUUGGAAGGGGUAGAGGGAGAACAAAAAAAAAUAGCUUAAUAAAAAAUGUGUUAAUUGAUUUAAGAAUGACUAGUGAUGUAGCAUUUCAUUGAGCUCAAUGGUAGGGACCGGAUAAGAUUCAUAUAGAAACCCCUAAAUAGUUGGUACACACACCGGUAAUGAUAGUCAUGCUGAGUUGUUUGUGACUCUUAAAGGGUCUCAUUACCCAUAUGUACAAGCCUCAAAUGGAAACGGGCUCUCUAUGCCUCAAAUGGAGACACUAGAGACAUUUUUCAAGUUCAUUUAUUCAAUAGUUGAUACCACUUUGGUAUCACUAACAUUAGAUACUUCAAUAUUGUCUGCAUGUUCAGGACAUGCAGCAACAACAACAACAAUAACAACAAUCAAGUCAUAUAUUAUUAGGUAAGGUCGGCUAUAUGGAUCCUUCUAUGUCAUUGGGCUCUGUCCCUUAUUAUAUAAUUAUCUUUAUUUAAAUAAAUUUAAUACUACUUUUAUCAUUGUUAAUCAGGUCUUCUUUGGUCUUCCACUUCCUCCCUUAAUCUGCAUAUUUAUCAUAAUUUCACAUCGCUUAAUUAGAUCAUUUAUUGGUCGUUUAAGUGCAUAUCUGCAUCAUCUUAAAUAUGUUUCUCGGUGUUUUUUCUCAAUAGAUGCAAUCCUGACUUUCUAUAAUAUUUUCAUUUCUUAUCCUCUCCAUCAUAUGUCCACACAUCUCCCUUAAUAUCCUUAUCUUUGCGACUCAUCUUCUGCUUGUAUGCUCGAGUCAUAGUCAAACAUUCAACUAUAUAUAACAUAGCAUAUCUAACUGUCAUUUUGUAGAAUUGACCUUUAAGUUUUAGAGAAAUUUUACGAUUAGAAAGAAUAUCUCUCCUCAAUUUUAAUCAUCCUGCUUGUAUUCUAGAUAAGACAUCUCUUAAUCCCUUCAUUCUUUUGUAAAAACGAUCUUAAAUACUGAAAGUUCUCGGGUAUAGAUAACUCAUCAUCUCCUUUUGUUCAAUACAUGCAAAGUUAAGAAACAUUCUGAAUUACUUCUUCUGUUGGUUUAACAAUUGCAAUUUUCAAAUGAGAUGGAGGUAAUGAAAAUUAUAGAGAUAGCCAUGACAUUCUACUUUACCUUCCCAAAAGAAAUUUCACUCCCAUGGUGUGCAAUAUCAAAAUUGCUGUGACAUUUUUAUUUUCUACAGAUGUGUUUUUGUUUGUUCUCUUGAGCAUUCCUUUCCCUAUCCGAGGUACCUGAUGAAAUAUUUUAUAUGCUUUCCUUUUAGUGGGAUUGAGGGAAAAUUGAUUUGAUUUUGACAUCUUCUCUUGCUAGAGCUUGGCAUUUACAGUGUUAGUGGGUAAUGGAGGUGAAAUAGGAAUGCUGAGAUGGAGUAUAAUCUUCCCUUUCAGAAGCACUCACAUAACUUAUUGCACAUUGUAGGUAGGGACUAGAAUGUUUUUUUUUUUCAAGUUGGAAUAAGUUAUAUAGGAAUAUUUUCACCUGAACUUUCUUUUUCUUCUACAAUUGAGACAAGUAAUUCAAAGUUAAUGGUCUGAUCUAUUGUGAAAAAAGUCCAAGAUAACUAAACCAAUCUAUAUGUAAUGCAAACAAGGAGUCAAAGGUUUGAAAAGUUUUAGAUGAUUCAUAAGGAAUUGACUUAAAUUUUGAUUUUGGAAUUUGAUUUCUAGGGUUUCUUUAAUGAUUCAAAAGAAAGCUUGAAUCGAUUUUGGUGUUGCAUCAAUAUGUUUUUUCUUACUAACAAUGGGAAUGACUUUUACUACUAAACAAGCAUGUAUUGGUGCUUAUUUUUUGUUCUUUAACGUCAUGCAAAGUGAGAACCUUGUGGCAAUUUUGGCAAGUCACUUGAGUUUUAGGUAAUUGAAUGAAAUAAAUAUUUUCAUAAACUCACCACUUUGAAGAGAGGAAAUAAGAUGUGGUCAUCAGGUUACUCUACCUAGACCAGCAGAAUAGAGUUGGGUGUGAGAAUUAGUGACAAAGUCAUCCAAACUCAUCUGCUGCCAUGUUAUCAAAAGAAGAAAAGUAGAUUGCUUUCUUUUCUCUGUUUAUCUUGAAAAAAAUAUGUUGCUUAUAUUUCACCCGCCUUUUUGUCCUUUUUUCUCUCUUAUGACUUCUAGAAGUUAUUUGCCGAUUGAGCUUUAUAAACUAGCAAAUCUUAUUCUAUAAGAUCAGGCACGAUAUAUGAAAGUGUAAGUAUCCCGGGUUAGUUUUGAUGCUGAUCAACCAAGUUAAGUUAGGUCAUGUGUGUUUGAUGUCUUAUGUCUAAGUGUGCAGGAACUUAGGAACAAAGAAAUCGAAUGGAAGACGCAGCGAGUGAGAAGGAUGACACGAGAAGAGAGUCGACGAGUUCGGUGCAUCCGAGGGACGAAAAGUUGUGGAAGAGUACAUCAGUGGAGCGAGAAGGACGCGCGAGGCGUAUCUGAGGGAUGAGUAGCUAUGAGGAAAACUACUCGAGGAGAAGUCGAAGUUGGGUUCGGGUGAGCUCAAUUCUGGAUGGUUGGACCAUCACCUAAGGGAGUGGAGUCAGAAAAUGGUCACCUCGAAAGUUGCCCAUUCGAGGCAUCUCCGAUUGAACGGAGUCACCCUGAUGACUUGAAGACUCGAGGUGCCUUAGAUUGCUUGAGGCGCCUCGAAUGGCUAAAGAAGUUGUUGUUGCACGGGACUCGAGGCGCCUCCGAUGAACCGAGGCACCUCCAAAGAGUUGGAGCCGUUGCCGAAGGGAUAAGCCGUGGAGUUCAGCUCAGCCUAACCAAAGUGCCUCCAACAUGCCAGAACAGUUUAACGUUGGCAGCAAUAAGGAUAAAGUUUAUCCAGUUGGAGGCGCCUCCAAGCAUUCGAGGCGCCUCCGAAGUGCCACGUCAGCAACGGUCACUUUUGAUCAAUGGACUAUAAAUAGAGCCCUAAAGCCAGUUGUAAUGCAAAACACUUUGUAUUCAAUUUUGUAGUUGGUUUUGCGCUUUCAAAUGUUGUAAGGGGCUACUCCGCCUCCGACUUUGUAGAAGAAGGAGCUUGAUAAUGCAUUCUAAAGUUUUGGAUUAACAACCACCCAGGUUAUAACCAAGUAAACUUCUGCCUCUUAUUUUAAUCUAUGUUAUUGUUGUUUUUAAUUAAUUAGUGUGUCCUUGCUAAGUAAGUAGCAAGAAAAGUUGUAAUUUCAAUUUGCAGGUUAUUCACCCCUCUAGCCGGUCCAACCGAUCCAACCGAUUCAACCGAAAGAUCUAGAAUAUAGAAGGAAACAUAAGAAGAGUAUGAUCAUAGUCUAAUUAUUUUUAAAUGAAGCUAUUUAUGAUUCCAUUUAGAAGUUUAUCCUUAGUUAUGGUAGUAUCAGUCUCCUUGAAUUCAUGUACUAGAAUCUGUUUUGUAAGAAUAAACUUUUUUUAUAUUAAUUUGGAUAACUUUCAUAGUCGUUAUUCUUUAUUUUUUGUGAAAUUUGGUUAUAAGAUGCAAAUGCAUACUUAUUAAAUUGCUUCCUCUAAUACUUAGGAACUUAGGAACAAAGAAAUCGAAUGAAAGACCCAGCGAGUGAGAAGGAUGACACGAGAAGAGAGUCGACGAGCUCGGUGCAUCCGAGGGACGAAAAGUUGUGGAAGAGUAUACCAGUGGGCGUAUCCGAGGGAUGAGUAGCCAUGAGAAAAACUACUCGAGGAGAAGGUCGGAGUUGGGUUCGGGUGAGCUCAAUUCUGGAUGGUCAGACCAUCACCUAAGGGAGUGGAGUCAGAAAAUGGUCACCUCGAAAGUUGACCAUUCGAGGCAUCUCUGAUUGAACGGAGUCACCCUGAUGACUUGAAGACUCGAGGUGCCUUAGAUUGCUUGAGGCGCCUCGAAUGGAUAAAGAAGUUGUUGUCGCACGGGACUCGAGGCACCUCUGAUGAACCGAGGCACCUCCAAAGAGUUGGAGCCGUUGUUGAAGGGAUAAGCCGUGGAGUUCAGCUCAGCCUAACCAAAGUGCCUCCAACAUGCCAGAACAGUUUAACGUUGGCAGUAAUAAGGAUAAAGUUUAUUCAGUUGGAGGCGCCUCUAAGCAUUCGAGGCGCCUCCGAAGUGUCACGUCAGCAACGGUCACUUUUGAUCAAUGGACUAUAAAUAGAGCCCUAAAGCCCGUUGUAAUGCAAAACACUCUGUAUUCAAUUUUGUAAUUAGUUUUGCGCUUUCAACUGUUGUAAGGGGCUACUUCGCCUCUGACUUUGUCGAAGAAGGAGCUUGAUAAUGCAUUCCAAAGUUUUGGAUUAACAACCACCCAGGUUAUAACUAAGUAAACUUCUGCCUCUUAUUUUAAUCUAUGUUAUUGUUGUUUUUAAUUAAUUAGUGUGUCCUUGCUAAGUAAGUAGCAAGAAAAGUUGUAAUUUCAAUUUGCAGGCUAUUCACCCCCUCUAGCCGGUCCAACCGAUGCAACCGAAAGAUCUAGAAUAUAGAAGGAAACAUAAGAAGAGUAUGAUCAUAGUCUAAUUAUUUUUAAAUGAAGCUAUUUAUGAUUCCAUUUAGAAGUUUAUCCUUGGUUAUGGUAGUAUCAGUCUCCUUGAAUUCAUGUACUAGAAUCUGUUUUAUAAGAAUAAACUUUUGUUAUAUUAAUUUGGAUAACUUUCAUAGUCGUUAUUCUUUAUUUUUUGUGAAAUUUGGUUAUAAGAUGCAAAUGCAUACCUAUUAAAUUGCUUCCUCUAAUACUUUUCAUAGUUGUAUGCUACUGGUAGCUUUUGGAUACCUUUUCAUUGUGAUCGUUAGUACUUAGAAAGUUAGUAUAUGACCACCUAAUCUUGUGCACCUUUUGGAGCCUGUGGUUUCAAAUCUCAAGUUUCACUGCUAAGUAGAUAGUUUUUCUCUGCCCUUAUGAAAUUAUGUUACAUUUAGUUCCUUUUUAACCGCUCCAAGCAUUUAACAAUCUCCCUAUAAAUGCCAUCCUUAAUCUAAGUUUUUCUUCUUGUUUGUCUCUUUUAUAAGAUGAUCUACUUGUGAGUUUUGACUAAUUAAGGAACUUGCAUGAAUUCUUCAUUUUGUUCCUGGAAAUUAAUUUUUUUAUAUCAACAUCUCACUAGAUCAUCUAAACUUGUAUACAGCUGCUGCCUUCACAUUGUACCAUGAUGGAAAUAAGACCCUUUUACAGAUAAAGAUCCCUACUGAAAUUAUGAGGCAUCUCAUAGCCAAGAUUAUGAAGUUUCCUACGUGGAACAAGCAUCUUUAUCCUCAAGAUCACGAAGAACCUUUCUUUUGAUCAUUCUUUUUUCAGCUAAAGAUGGAAGAGUUUAUUUCUAUUAUUAUACUAUUCUUUUUUCAGCUAAAACUGCAAAGGAGGAGAAUAUGGUAAGGCAAACGGGAUGUAUGUAUGAGGCAGCGAUGCCAAAAGGCAUAUCAGAAUGUGAUACUUAGAACUGUGAUGGAUGAAUAACAUGCACAUGCUUUUCCACAGUUACAGGUGACGGGAAUGUAUGCUGAUUCAUUUCAGUUGCAAUGCAAAUAGGCAUGUUAAAAUGUGGUUGAACUAUGCUGGAUGCAUAACAAAUUUUUCUCCACAGUUGACACAUGACGGGAAUGCUUGCAGAUUCAUUUCAUUUCCUUUAUUAUUAUUAUUAUUUUUUAAGGUUAGAUUCAUUUGUUCAUUCUUUGAACUGCAGAGUUUCUGAUGGCAAGUUAGAACUCAAUGUUAUUCUGAGGAUGCAGGUGGACUCGUAAAGCCUUGUGAGUUCACAGAAACUCAAUCCAUUAUUGUCAGGUGCCAGAAAGCAAAAUUAGACAGACUUCCAUGCAUUGAAAAUUUACUACAAAAAAGGCCAGAGUUCACACACCAGCUUGCAUGAUCUACAUACAUACGUCUCAAAACUAUACAAACACAAAGUUAAUUAGCCAACGGUUGUCAGGCAUUCGAAGCUACCAGCUCUUGCAAAAGAGGACCUUAUUUCAUCCUGGCAUCGUCCAAUAGGAUUACCAUUUUCAAGCCCCCCUGAUGCUUUGCCUCUGCGUUUGCAAAUGCUUGUACAUUUUUCACAAACAAAUCUUGCAGGCGGAUCCUCUGAAUCGUCAAUUCCAGCACACCUGGUGUGAUGCCAGACUCCGCAGACAUCACAGGCCAUCAUCCUCUCUCCAUCAUCAUCCUUGGCGCCACAAGAACAAUCAACAAUCCAGUUGUCCAACCCUCGUUCCUUUCUGUAUUGCCCAAGGUUUUGGUUGUUGCCAUCGCAUCUUCCUCUGAUCUGAACCAUCCCACGUGAGCCGAACAGAGUCUUGAUUGGGGUCACAUCACUAGCAUCUUCAUAAUUGACUAGUUGCUCAACUUUAAACCUUUGGAAUAUCAAAUAAGUCUCUUGGAAUGCUUUUGUAACCAUCUUUUUUAGGUCAAAAAUGGUGGCUUCCACCGGCAUAACCAAGAGUUCUGGUGGUAGGACAAUGUAAUCAUCUGGAUAGUCAACAAGUUCAACAUGACACCAUAGAGCCAUGACAAAUGGAUUUGUCGGCAACAGGUUUAACACAGGCUCAUCAUAGUGCCUUAUAAGUUGCUUGCAGUCAAGAAGCUUAAAGGCAGAAUUGAGAGCAGCUUCUCUCACGGUUUUAGGCCUGUACGGCUGCAUGGUAAUUGGAUUGAGCAAACUGUCAUACAAGAAUCUAAGGUCAUGGACGAGCUGCCCUCUAGACAGUCUGGGAAGACAAGGAGUGGCAGCCAACUGGGAAUUUGUUGCUUCAAGCCUGAAAUUUACAAUGUCACAAUGCCACUUAUUUCAGAUGUAACAGAAAGGAGCACGCUGCCAACUGCAAUAUGAUAGAGCUACAAGAUUUAUUUGAAAUUACCUGUAUUCAAUUGUCUUUGAAUCCAGAUUGUAGCGAGCAACUAUCGAUCCAUUACUGACUUGUUCUCCAACAAUAACCUUGAGACAAUAGUCAAGCAGUUCAGGUGGCUUGAUGGCAUGGCAUGAGGCCCGUCUAAGGGCACGCCAAGUCACCCAUUGAGGGCCCACAACAGCUCGAAGAAACUUAAUUACAGUUGCCUUAGCUAAGUCCACUUGAUCCCUCGACCAAGCACAAAGAGCUCCAACUGCAGCCACUUCUGCAGAUUUGUGUCCAGGAGGAGGAAAGUGUAGCAGCUGCAUGAGAUAGCAGAAAAGGUCUCUGAUGGUCAAUAGUUGACAGUCCGAGAGGCUACAAUACAAGCUAAUAGUGUUCUGCAGUUGUGUCCGGGGGAAUCUAGUGCCAGAAAGGAAGAUAGAAAGUUGCAGACUGGAAAGGGUGUCGACGGCCUUCUGAUAUGACUCGGCAGUGAGAGCAAAGCUGCCAGUGCCAAACUUAUACCCCCAAUUCCCGUACCAAGGAUGACCAACGGUGACAGCGUGGAGGAGGCGGUAGUCCAUCCCAUGUUUCUUGGAUAUAUCCAUGACGCUCACCUUCCUGUUAGAGAAGUAAUUUGGUCAUAUCCAGAUAGAUACAUGUAACAUAAAUCAAGGUAAUAAAUCAAUCUUCCACAUCAAAACUGCUAUAGAUGUAAUCAUAUUGAGUACGUUGUUAAGGUGUCAUUAAUGCACGACCAACUUGUUUACUUGUACAGUGAAACACUAAUGAAAUUGCAUUAAAUCC